UACGGGGGGAGCAGCGUUGUUCGGAUUUACUGGGCGUAAAGGGCGCGUAGGCGGUCAGCACAAGUCAGUUGUGAAAUCUCUGGGCUUAACCCAGAAAGGUCAACCGAUACUGCGGGGCUAGAGUGCAGAAGGGGCAACUGGAAUUCUCGGUGUAGCGGUGAAAUGCGUAGAUAUCGAGAGGAACACCUGCGGCGAAGGCGGGUUGCUGGGCUGACACUGACGCUGAUGCGCGAAAGCCAGGGGAGCGGACGGG
rnacentral:rRNA from 1 species